rnacentral:rRNA from 1 species
AGGGUGUAAACGCUGCAGACUUGGUGUUGGAGGCCCUUUGGGGGCAUUCAGUGCCGGAGAGAAGUUGUUAAGUCUGCUACUUGGGGAGUACGUCCGCAAGGAUGAAACUUAAAGGAAUUGGCGGGGGAGCACCGCAACGGGAGGAGCGUGCGGUUUAAUUGGAUUCAACACCGUAAAACUCACCAGGGAAGACUGUUACAUGAAGGCCGAGAUGAAGACUCUGCUAGAUUUUCAGAGAGGAGGUGCAUGGCGUCAGUGACUA